UUUGAUCCUGGCUCAGGAUUAACGCUGGCGGCGUGCCUAAUACAUGCAAGUCGAACGGAAACCUUCGGGUUUUAGUGGCGAACGGGUGAGUAACACGUAAGCAACCUACCCUAAAGACGAGGAUAACCAUUGGAAACAGUGGCUAAGACUGGAUAGGAGCGGGGAAAAAGCUCUUUGCUUCUCUUAAAGACUAGUAAAGGUAUGCUUUAGGAGGGGCUUGCGCCAUAUUAGUUAGUUGGUAGGGUAAUGGCCUACCAAGACGAUGAUGUUGAGCUGGACUGAGAGGUUGAACAGCCACAUUGGGACUGAGACACGGCCCAAACUCCUACGGGAGGCAGCAGUAGGGAAUUUUCGGCAAUGGAGGAAACUCUGACCGAGCAACGCCGCGUGAAUGAUGAAGUACUUCGGUAUGUAAAGUUCUUUUAUCAAGGAAGAAAAGCAAAUGGCGAACCAUUUGUUUGCCGGUACUUGAUGAAUAAGCCCCGGCUAAUUAUGUGCCAGCAGCCGCGGUAAGACAUAAGGGGCAAGUGUUAUCCGGAAUUAUUGGGCGUAAAGGGCGCGUAGGCGGUCUAGUAAUUCCUGGGUGAACUGGCAACGCUUAAAAAUGUCCGGCUAUUGAAACUGCUAAACUUGAGUUAAAAAGAGGCGAGUGGUAUUCCAUGUGUAGCCGGGAAAUGUAAAUAUAUGGAGGAACACCAGAGGCGUAGGCGGCUCGCUGGGUCUUAACUGACGCUGAGGCACGAAAGCGUGGGGAGCAAACAGGAUUAGAUACCCUGGUAGUCCACGCCGUAAACGAUGAGUACUAAGUGUCGGGUUAAACCGGUACUGAAGUUAACACAUUAAGUACUCCGCCUGAGUAGUACGUACGCAAGUAUGAAACUUAAAGGAAUUGACGGGACUCCGCACAAGCGGUGGAUCAUGUUGUUUAAUUCGAAGAUACCCGAAAAACCUUACCAGGUCUUGACAUGUUUUUGCAAAAUGAUAGUAAUAUCGUGGAGGUUACCAGAAACACAGGUGGUGCAUGGUUGUCGUCAGCUCGUGUCGUGAGAUGUUAGGUUAAGUCCUAAUCUGAUUAAAGUGGAGGAAGGUGAGGAUCACGUCAAAUCAGCAUGCCCCUUAUGACCUGGGCUACAAACGUGAUACAAUGGAUGGACAAAGGGUAGCAGAAAGGCAAGUCUGGCCAAUCCCCAAAAACAGUCUUCUGUAUAGGAGUGAAGUUGCAACUCGACUCAUGAAUUGAUCGCUGUAUCGCAUCAGCUUCCGUCCGCUGUUAGUCUGCAACUCGACUUCAUGAAGUUGGAAUCGCUAGUAAUCGCGAAUCAGCAUGUCGCGGUGAAUACGUUCUCGGGGUUUGUACACACCGCCCGUCAAACCACGAAAGUUGGCAAUACCCCAAAACGGUAGCCUAACUCGUUUAUUCGAGAGGGCGCCGUCUAAGGUAGGGUCGAUGAUUGGGGUUAAGUCGUAACAAGGUAUCCCUACCGGAAGGUGGGGAUGGAUCACCUCCUUUCUAAGGAAACCC
rnacentral:rRNA from 1 species